rnacentral:rRNA from 1 species
GACGUAGGGCGCGAGCGUUGUCCGGAUUUAUUGGGCGUAAAGAGCUCGUAGGCGGCUUGUCGCGUCGUCCGUGAAAACUUGGGGCUCAACCCCAAGCUUGCGGUCGAUACGGGCAGGCUAGAGUUCGGUAGGGGAGACUGGAAUUCCUGGUGUAGCGGUGAAAUGCGCAGAUAUCGGGAAGAACACCCGUGGCGAAGGCGGCUCUCUGGGACGGUACUGACGCUGAGACGCGAAAGCGUGAGGAGCGAACAGG